GACGAACGCUGGCGGCGUGCUUAACACAUGCAAGUCGAACGGUGAACCUGCUUCGGUGGGGGAUCAGUGGCGAACGGGUGAGUAACACGUGGGCAACCUGCCCUCAGCUCUGGGAUAACUCCAAGAAAUUGGGGCUAAUACUGGAUAUGACCGCUGACUGCAUGGUCUGGUGGUGGAAAGAUUUAUCGGCUGGGGAUGGGCUCGAGGCCUAUCAGCUUGUUGGUGGGGUAGUGGCCUACCAAGGCGACGACGGGUAGCCGGCCUGAGAGGGUGCCCGGCCCCACUGGGACUGAGACACGACCCAGACUCGUACGGGAGGCAGCGGUGGGGAAUAUUGCGCAAUAGGCGGGAGGCUGGCGCAACGACGCCGCGUGGGGUAUGACGGCCAGCGGGUUGUAAACCUAUGUCAUCAGAGACGAGGCGAAAGUGACGGUACCGGCAGAAGAAGCACCGGCUAACUACGUG
rnacentral:rRNA from 1 species